UACGUAGGGGGCUAGCGUUGUCCGGAUUUAUUGGGCGUAAAGAGCGUGUAGGCGGCCAGGUAGGUCUGCUGUGAAAACUCGAGGCUCAACCUCGAGACGUCGAUGGAAACCAUCUGGCUAGAGUCCGGAAGAGGAGAGUGGAAUUCCUGGUGUAGCGGUGAAAUGCGCAGAUAUCAGGAAGAACACCCGUGGCGAAGGCGGCUCUCUGGGACGGUACUGACGCUGAGACGCGAAAGCGUGGGGAGCGAACAGG
rnacentral:rRNA from 1 species